rnacentral:rRNA from 1 species
AUUGAACGCUGGCGGCAGGCCUAACACAUGCAAGUCGAACGAGUGGCGGACGGGUGAGUAAUGUCUGGGAAACUGCCUGGUGGUGGGGGAUAACUACUGGAAACUGUCGCUUAUACCGCAUACCCUCAGAUGUGCCCAGAUGGGAUUAGCUUGUUGGUGGGGUAACGGCUCACCAAGGAGACGAUCCCUAGCUGGUCUGAGAGGAUGACCAGCCAAACUGGAACUGAGACACGGUCCAGACUCCUACGAGAGGCAGCAGUGGGGAAUAUUGCACAAUGGGCGCAAGCCUGAUGCAGCCAUGCCGCGUGUAUGAAGAAGGCCUUCGGGUUGUAAAGUACUUUCAGCGGGGAGGCGUUACCCGCAGAAGAAGCACCGGCUAACUCCGUGCCAGCAGCCGCGGUAAUAC